AACGAACGCUGGCGGCAUGCCUAACACAUGCAAGUCGAACGAGACCUUCGGGUCUAGUGGCGCACGUGUGCGUAACGCGUGGGAACCUGCCCUUAGGUUCGGAAUAACUCCCCUAAAGGGGUGCUAAUACCGGAUAAUGUCUUCGGACCAAAGAUUUAUCGCCUUUGGAUGGGCCCGCGUUGGAUUCGCUAGUUGGUAGGGUAAAAGCCUACCAAGGCGACGAUCCAUAGCUGGUCUGAGAGGAUGAUCAGCCACACUGGGACUGAGACACGGCCCAGACUCGUACGGGAGGCAGCAGUGGGGAAUAUUGGACAAUGGGCGAAAGCCUGAUCCAGCAAUGCCGCGUGAGUGAUGAAGGCCUUAGGGUUGUAAAGCUCUUUUACCCGGGAUGAUAAUGACAGUACCGGGAGAAUAAGCUCCGGCUAACUACGUG
rnacentral:rRNA from 1 species